CUAUCCACACAAAAAACACCUUCAUGAGAACUAAAAAUCAGGGCAAGUUCUGACUCAUCUUGAUGGAAGUGAACAAAUCUGAUCCUUACCAAGUGUUGCUUACUUCAAAAAAUGGCAGCAUCAUUCACAAGUUUGCAAAACCUUGGUGUUACGUUUUCAUCCUGCCCCACUCCCUAGCCUCCCGAACAUUCAAUCCAUUGCUCUAUUGAUUAUUGUUAUCUACUAAGUAUUUCUCAGACCCAUAUACCUUUCUCCCAGUUUGCCACCAGCUUAGCCCAACUAUGAUGUCAUCUCAUUUGGACGAUCGUAACAACUUUCUAACUGGUCUCUUAAUAUGUCAGUGCCUACAGAUCUAUUCUCCACAUGUAACUGCAAGAUCUUUUUAAAGCAAAAGCCUAAUAAAAUCCCCUUAUUGUUCUUGGAUUUAAAUCAGAUAAACAAAUAACUGUACAUGCUCAUAUUCUCUGCCACUAGGGAUUAUGCUGAGGUGAUUUGUUUCGUCACUUUAACCUAGACAAUUCCUAUUCAUCUUUCAGCUCUCACUUCAGCAUGAUUUUGUAGGGGAAGCUCCACAUUACAUUUUUUACUAAGACAGAUCACACCACCU
rnacentral:lncRNA from 1 species